UACGUAGGGUGCGAGCGUUAAUCGGAAUUACUGGGCGUAAAGCGUGCGCAGGCGGCUUUGCAAGACAGAUGUGAAAUCCCCGGGCUUAACCUGGGAACUGCAUUUGUGACUGCAUUGCUAGAGUAUGGGAGAGGGAAGUGGAAUUUCAGGUGUAGCGGUGAAAUGCGUAGAUAUCUGAAGGAACAUCAGUGGCGAAAGCGACUUCCUGGACCAAUACUGACGCUCAUGUGCGAAAGCGUGGGGAGCAAACAGG
rnacentral:rRNA from 1 species